rnacentral:rRNA from 1 species
UGAACGCUGGCGGCAGGCCUAACACAUGCAAGUCGAGCGGAUGAAGGGAGCUUGCUCCUGGAUUCAGCGGCGGACGGGUGAGUAAUGCCUAGGAAUCUGCCUGGUAGUGGGGGAUAACGUCCGGAAACGGGCGCUAAUACCGCAUACGUCCUGAGGGAGAAAGUGGGGGAUCUUCGGACCUCACGCUAUCAGAUGAGCCUAGGUCGGAUUAGCUAGUUGGUGGGGUAAAGGCCUACCAAGGCGACGAUCCGUAACUGGUCUGAGAGGAUGAUCAGUCACACUGGAACUGAGACACGGUCCAGACUCCUACGGGAGGCAGCAGUGGGGAAUAUUGGACAAUGGGCGAAAGCCUGAUCCAGCCAUGCCGCGUGUGUGAAGAAGGUCUUCGGAUUGUAAAGCACUUUAAGUUGGGAGGAAGGGCAGUAAGUUAAUACCUUGCCGUUUUGACGUUACCAACAGAAUAAGCACCGGCUAACUUCGUG